UACGUAGGGUGCAGGCGUUAAUCGGAAUUACUGGGCGUAAAGCGUGCGCAGGCGGCUUCUCAAGUCAGAUGUGAAAUCCCCGGGCUUAACCUGGGAACUGCGUUUGAAACUGGGAGGCUAGAGUGCGGCAGAGGGGGGUGGAAUUCCACGUGUAGCAGUGAAAUGCGUAGAUAUGUGGAGGAACACCGAUGGCGAAGGCAGCCCCCUGGGCCUGCACUGACGCUCAUGCACGAAAGCGUGGGGAGCAAACAGGAUUAGAAACCCCCGUAGUCC
rnacentral:rRNA from 1 species